UACGGAGGGGGCUAGCGUUGUUCGGAAUUACUGGGCGUAAAGCGCACGUAGGCGGCUUUGUAAGUUAGAGGUGAAAGCCCAGGGCUUAACCCCUGGAAUUGCCUUUAAGACUGCAUCGCUAGAAUUGUGGAGAGGUAAGUGGAAUUCCGAGUGUAGAGGUGAAAUUCGUAGAUAUUCGGAAGAACACCAGUGGCGAAGGCGACUUACUGGACACAUAUUGACGCUGAGGUGCGAAAGCGUGGGGAGCAAACAGG
rnacentral:rRNA from 1 species